AGGUUGGGGAUAUUUGGAAUAAUAUGAAGCAUAUUUUGCUUAGUUCUGUUCUGUUAUGUAUUUUGGGUGAAGAUGGCGCAGAAGCCUAUUAGUAUAACAAGGAUGGGGAGGUUUGGAACAAUAUGAAGCAUAUUUUGCACAGUUUUUGGGUCAAGGUCAACAAUAUGAACAAUAUUUUGCUAAUGUAUUUUGGGUAAAGAUGACAUAGAAGUGUUAUUUCUAUGAUAAAGUAAUGCUUGCACUUUUGGAAAAACUUGUAUGAAUGAUUGGUUUAACUAACUAAUCAAUGGGUGUGUUAAAACUAUGGUUGAUUGACAAUGCUAACCUUUUCUGAAAGUGAUUUUAAAGGUUUUUUUUGCU